rnacentral:rRNA from 1 species
ACGAACGCUGGCGACGUGCUUAACACAUGCAAGUCGAGCGGUAAGGCCCUUUCGGGGGUACACGAGCGGCGAACGGGUGAGUAACACGUGGGUGACCUGCCCUCAGCUCUGGGAUAAGCCUGGGAAACCGGGUCUAAUACCGGAUAUGACUCCAUGACGCAUGUUGUGGGGUGGAAAGCCUUGUGCGGCUGAGGAUGGGCCCGCGGCCUAUCAGCUUGUUGGUGGGGUGAUGGCCUACCAAGGCGACGACGGGUAGCCGGCCUGAGAGGGCGACCGGCCACACUGGGACUGAGACACGGCCCAGACUCCUACGGGAGGCAGCAGUGGGGAAUCUUGCGCAAUGCGCGAAAGCGUGACGCAGCAACGCCGC